rnacentral:rRNA from 1 species
GACGAACGCUGGCGGCGUGCCUAACACAUGCAAGUCGAGCGGGAACCUCAGGAGGGGUAACCCUUCCGAGGGGAGAGCGGCGAACGGGUGAGUAACACGUGGGCAACCUGCCCCGGACACCGGGAUAACCCAGGGAAACCUGAGCUAAUACCGGAUACUCCGGCGCGAUCGCAUGGUCGCGCCGGGAAAGCUCCGACGGUCCGGGAUGGGCCCGCGGCCUAUCAGCUUGUUGGUGGGGUAACGGCCCACCAAGGCGACGACGGGUAGCUGGUCUGAGAGGACGGCCAGCCACACUGGGACUGAGACACGGCCCAGACUCCUACGGGAGGCAGCAGUGGGGGAUCUUGCGCUAAUGCGCGAAAGCGUGACGCAGCGACGCCGCGUGGGGGAUGAAGGCCUCCGGGUUGUAAACCCCUUUCGGCAGGGACGAAGGGAAACUGACGGUACCUGCAGAAGAAGUCCCGGCUAACUACGUGC